CCUACGGGAGGCUGCAGUGGGGAAUAUUGGGCAAUGGAGGCAACUCUGACCCAGCAACGCCGCGUGAAUGAUGAAGGUCUUCGGAUUGUAAAGUUCUGUGAUGGGGGAUGAACACAAUGACGGUACCACAAUAGCAAGCCACGGCUAACUAUGUGCCAGCAGCCGCGGCAAUACGUAGGUGGCAAGCGUGAUCCGGAAUGACUGGGCGUAAGGGGUGCGUAGGGGGUUUAGUAAGUUGGCGGUGUAAGUCCGGGGCUCAACCUCGGCGCUACCGCCAAAACUAUUAGUCUUGAGUUCAGGAGGGGUGAGUGGAAUUCCUAGUGUAGCGGUGGAAUGCGUAGAUAUUAGGAGGAACAUCAGGGGCGAAGGCGACUUACUGGACUGUAACUGACACUGAGGCACGAAAGCGUGGGUAGCAAACAGGAUUAGAUACCCGGGUAGUC
rnacentral:rRNA from 1 species